rnacentral:tRNA from 1 species
ACCUGGGUGGCUCAGUCGGUUGAGCGUCUGACUUCGGCUCAGGUCAUGAUCUCACAGUUCGUGGGUUCGAGCCCCACAUCAGGCU